ACCCUAACACCUGUACACGUGGAAGCUGGACUCUCACAGGACUCUCUAGUGCCCUUGUCUUCUCCAGUGCAGACCAUGGUCUUCUUGCAGUGAGAGUACAUGGUCCCCUCUGUGCACACAGCCCGGGAGCCCAAUGACUGCCUGCAACACCCCAUGCAUCAGCUGUCCUCCACAGUCAGCCUGCAAGACAAGCCAAAGGCAGAAGCUGUGGGUCUUUUCCUCUCUCAUUGAAGAUCAUUUACUAUACUGCAAAGAAGGACUUGGGGGUGCUGGUGGAUGAGAAGCUGGACAUGAAUAAAUGGUGUGCACUUGCAGCCCAGAAAGCCAUCCUGGGCUGCAUUAAAAGAACCCUGACCAGCAGGACAAGGAAGAUGAUUCUGCCUCUCUACUCUGCUGUCAUGAGACCCUACCUGGAGUGCUGCAUCCAGCUCUGGAUCCUCAGCACAGGAAAGACAUGGACCUGUUGGCACAAGUCCAGAGGAGGGCCACAAAAAUGACUGGAAGACUGGUGCACCUCUCCUGUGAGGAUAGGCUGAGAGAGUUGGGGCUGUUGAGCGCGGAAAAGAGAAGGCUUCAGGAAGACCUUACUGCAGUCUUUCAAUAAUUAAAGGGGGUUUAUAAGAAAGAUAGGAACAGCCUUUAAGCAGGGCUUGUUGCAGCAGGUUUUAAACUAAAAGAUGGUAAAUUCAUACAAGAAAUAAGGAAAAAUUUGUUAUGAGAGUAAUAAGUUGCCCAGAGAAACUGUGGACAUCCCAUUCCUGGAAACAUUCAAGGUCAGCUUGGAUGGGGUUCACUGCAGAGGCAAUUAUACUAGGUGACCUUUAAAGGUCCCUUCCAACUCAAAGUAUUCUAUGAUUCUAUCCUCUUAGCAGAUCUUCCACAUCAAAAAUGUUACAGAAGACUUGAAUUCUACAAGUUAUUUUAAGAAUCCACCUUCAGUUUGGUUAAGACUUUAAUUUCGUAACACCCUAAAAUAUAUGUCAAGAAUGUAACUAUUUCACAUUACCAUUUUUUUGUAAAAGUGGCAGCACUGUGCUUGCAAGAGUUACAUGGAAAGGUAGAUUAUCUUGCUUGAGAUAUGUCUGUAAAAACAGCUGGUUUUCCUUUGCAGUGCAACGUGAAAUAGGGACUGACUGAGUCAAGUUAUAGAAAUUUUCCUUUCUAAUAAAAUUGAGGUUAGACAUGGAAAAUUAUCACUUGAAUAAAUGAGAGCUUGGAGCUUAAUAGAAAUAUUUCAGAGAACUCAGGGAAAUUGCCUAUCCUCUUCCUGAAGACAAGAGACUAAAAAUAAAAUAAUAUAAAUGUAUUUUCUUAUGACCCAAUUUGUAAUGGUUUAAAUUGUUUAAAAAUGCAUGGGUAAAUCUUAUUUUUAAACAAAGACAUUUCUAAAAACUUUAGAUGGUUACAAUCUUUUAGACACAAUUGUUACUUGCUACGUGUGAUCAGUUUGAAGUAGACUAUACUUUGUUUCAAUAUGACCAUAUACAUUUCUGACACCUUAAAAGCAACGAUUACAUUCAUUAUCUCUAACAUUUCAGCAGCAUUAACAGUUUUUAUAAGAAAUACAAUAAUUUCAUUUAAGGGACAUUUUGUCCCCAAGAAGGAAAUUGUUUAUUUUAAGGCAGGGACUUAUAAAACAAUAAAUCUAACACUUUGUUUUCCUUUCUGCUUCCCUGGCUCCACAGCAAGAAGACAUGAAAGGACUGUGUCCCAGAACAGGGGAGUCCCUACCUCCAGCUUGUGCUGGAGUGGUGGCACAGGCCUGCCCUGUAGAUCCAAAAAACCUUUUCCAAACUUCCAGCUCUGUAAAUCUUGGCUCCACAGUAGCAGCCUGAGACCCCUUCCAACAGGGUGGUGAAGCUCAGCCAGGCUGCAGACCUGGAGUGCACAGCCCUACCCUGGAAAUGUUCCUGCAGCUACCUAACCCAGAGCUGCAGAUGCUGCCUGGCAGCGUUACAUCUGGCCAGGUUCAGAAUCCAGGUCAGGUUCAAAUUCUCUGAAAGUUUGUUAAAACUGAGACAUUUUGGACAAGACAUUCAAGACUCAACAAAAAGGCAUUUUUAAAGUAAAUUCUUUAACUGCACAAUUCAUAACAAAUACCAACUCUGAGUUAACUCAUUAAAUAAACAGCAAAGGGUUGAAUUUUGGCUGCCUUCAGCACCUCUCGUCUCUAGCUCUAAGGAAGGUAUCAGUUCUCUAGUGAGAGGCUAAUUAAGCCUCUUAUUUCUCGAUGUUAUUCCCCACAGAAGGCUCUGACACAGGAAAAUAAUUAUUCCCAUUUUGAAGCCAAAAUAUAAAACACUAUCUGUAACUGACGUGAUUGGUCCACGGAUGCACCAGGACGUUAACCUGAUUUUUGAAGUUCCUAUUACAAUCUGCUUCCCUGACCUUAGAACUUCUGUUUCCAUCGUUUUUUGCCCUUACUGCAGCAGUACAGUCUCAAUGCCACAUUUUUGUCUUUCAGCUGCAUCUAUUUAAUUAUGAGUUAGUAUCCCAAAAGAAGAACAAAGUGAUUAUACUUCUAUGUGAAUUUUCAGGAUCUUUGUCUGGUUAUAGAUAUAUGAAUGAAAAUAAUGUAUGAGCAUAUAAAUAGAAAAUUAAAGCUUUAUUGUGGCUUCUUUGAAAGUCUGGAACGCGUCUCAGAAGACAGUAAAGGAAACUGGAAAAAAGGCUUUGUUUCAGCUGAUAAAUGUCUGUUCUCUCAAGUUUAAAAUCCAUGGUGGAAAAGGUGAAUGAAACAAGCCCACCAACAGUGGCUAAAUCUAUUAACUUCAUUUUUAUUUUGAGCAUAAGAAUACUUUUUUAAAAAUUAAAAAAUUAGUUAUAAAGAUAUUUAAUUAAUUGGGAUAUAGAUCAAAAU